GAAAAAAAGGGAAGAAAGUCCAGGGACAUUGUGAAUUCAGUUUGGGCUUUUGCCGUCUUGGGUUUGUGAAUCACACGGGCAAAAGAGGGCCACAGGGAGUCUACAUUCGCCCAUGGUGUUAAAUGAAAUGGGACAAACGCGGGCAAGCUUCAAGGACUGGAGAGGGGGUUGCGUGUGCAGCUGGCCAGGCAGUGGCCUUGAAGGACGGGCUGCUAGUCCCCUUCUCUUCCUCAUCGGGCGAGUUAAGCCUGGCUGUGCCUGAAGAUGGUUCUGCCCAUGGGCUUGCACGAGGAAGGAGGCACUGAUGGUUCACGCUGAACUCUUGGAUGAGAAAUGGUUUCCUUCUGGCAUUUAAGAAAGAAGUCCUCUCCUCCAAACCCACAAAUAUUUGUUGGUUAUUUUUCUCCUUGAGAGAUGUUUUCCUGAAAUCUGCGACGCUCAGGCUUGUCAUGGGCAUUUCAGCUUCUGUGGCCUGUGAAAGUUGACUGUGAACGAGGGCUGCUCCAAAGGGGUUAAUUGCAUCUAGGCAUUGGAAAGUGAUUAUCUAAUUAAACUUUGAAAUGGAAUGGUAAAAACACUGGGUGACAGACUGUCUGUAGGAGGGUCCCCUGAGGUGUUCUCCAUGUAUUGCUAAUCAUCUUCUCUGCCCAGGCUGUGCCUGCCUCCAGCGGAGCCCGUCUCAGACCUCACUCUCCGGAACUCUGGCUUCACUCAAAGAUUUGUCAAACAGACCUCCCCCUCGGUGCUCCGUGCCCUGCCUGAACUCUGCAGUUGUGCCUGGAUGUCUUGGAAGACUUUCGUCACUUGUCUUCAGCUCCGCAAUUUCUAUUUAAAAUUGAAAGAUGAGAAAACUGAGGCUCAGACUUGCUUAAGUGACUUACUCGAGCCCCUCAAAGCCAGGCUUCCUGACGUUGAAAGCCACUGUUUCCUGCUGCCCCAGGUAAGCAUCCAUCUGUGCUGGAUGCUGGGGAGAAUGGAGAAGAUGGUGCAAAUUUCCACUGGAG